rnacentral:lncRNA from 1 species
UCUUUGGCUAUUCAUUUACUAAAGUUGAUCAUGACAUCACAGUCAAACAGGAAGUGCAACAGUGGAUAGAAUGGAACCCUGCAGCAAUGGGGCAGAGAGAGAGAGAAUAAUGCUGUGGAUAACCGUGUGCUGUGACAACAAGCGUCUAGUGCUGUAACAACAAGGCACUUCUGGUUGAGAUCUUCCGUCUAUCCUGAUGUCAGCUGUGUGAAUAGAAAGAAUCCGUGGUGCAUACAUGACCACAGAAACACACCCGCACUCACACACUGGAGAAUGACACAACCUCCCCAAGCAGUCACAGCACAAACAGCUAAUGGAGUCCAAAGCAGCAAAAAAGUCAGACAGUGGUUUUAAAGGCUGGGUUAUCCAUUUGGACUGGUAAUAAAGGCUGAGUGCUGCUGCAUAGAGAAUGCUUAGUGCUGGGUAGAUGCUGCCAGCUGGCCUCGCUGCCUGGUGUAGCUCAGUGUGCCACUACAAAUAUAUGGGCAUCGAGCGGACUUGAAAAGUGACAUAAACAACUUCAGGUGGUGGAAAGUAAGAAAAAAAAAUAUAUUUGUUAUAUAUGUCUUUAUAGGAGUGCAGUGUACCACACUGUAGUAGUCUUAAUAGUAGCAUUAUAAACACACUCCUCAUUCUUCAAACAAAUAUGUAAACCUGUCAUGUUAACAUGUAAACAACGCUGAGGCGCCCAACCCCUUACAGCCCCUCCAUUCCAGAACAACGUCUCUCCCAGCACGGGUGUGCUUGAUUUACUUCACUGUAAUGGCACAAAGGGAAUAGUCCAAAGUUACAGAACAGUAGAGUAUAGUAGUCUCCUCAGCCCUCAGAGGUCAGAGGGACCCCGGCUCUUCAUGACAGAGUCGUAGGAGGGGGGUGCCUCCAGGUCCCAGGGAGGAGGGGUGGGGGGCAAGGGGAGGGGUGGAGAGGGGGGCACUCGCACAGAGUCCUCAGACAUCUCUCUGCGUAUCCGGUCCAACCUUCUAGAGAGAGAGAGAGAGAGGGAGAGAGGGAAGGAUUAUUUGGACAAAGUACACUACAUGACCAAAAGUAUGUAGACACAUGCUCGUCGAACAUCUCAUUCCAAAAUCAUGGGCAUUAAUAUUGAGCUGGUCCCCCUUUGCUGCUAUAACAGCCUCCACUCUUCUCGGAAGGCUUUCUACUAGAUGUUGGAACAUUGCUGCGGGGACUUGCUUGCACGAGCAUUAGUGACUUGCUUGCACGAGCGUGCAAAACUAUGGGGCAAAACAGAAGAAUGUUGACAACAUGUAAACGAUAUUUUGGAAACGAUAUUUUGCAAUAAAUGUGUACAAUGACCACUUGUUGUCUCUCAAAUACAUCGUUACAGUUGUUGGUUAGCUAGAUAGCGAAUUUUAGCCAUUUUAGUAUUGACAUGAAAUCAAUCAAAACACCUCAAAACAAGACAUGGUAUCAAGAACAAGAUGAAACUAGAUGAAACAAGCCACGAUUCUCCACAUGAUAGUUUCUUGUCAUUGU